AUCCGGUGGGAGGGAACAUCUGGAACAUUAGACAGGAUGCUGAUCUUCUGGACAAUCACACUUUUCCUGUUGGGAGCAGCCAAAGGAAAAGAAGUUUGCUAUGAGGACCUUGGGUGCUUUUCUGACACUGAGCCCUGGGGCGGGACAGAAAUCAGGCCCCUGAAAAUUCUCCCCUGGAGCCCUGAGAAGAUUGUCACCCGCUUCCUGCUGUAUACCAAUGAAAACCCAAACAACUUUCAAAUUCUCCUCCUCUCUGAUCCAUGAACAAUUGAGGCAUCAAAUUUUCAAACGGACAGAAAGACCCGGUUCAUCAUCCACGGCUUCAUAGACAAAGGAGAUGAGAGCUGGGUAACAGAUAUGUGCAAGCCUGGGGCAUCACCAAGAGCCUGAAAGGACCCCUCACAGUCAAAUCUGCAAGGUCAUUUAGACACUGGCCACCGGAGAUUGCACCUAAGACUUUUCCUUUUCAAAAUAGGACUCUUUUCAUGAUGCAAUUGUUUUUCCCUUACUAACCAACCUUACUGAAUUUGGUUGAAGGAAACCAGAGAGUGGCCAGCUUCCAAUUAAUCUGCAAGCUGGAGGGGGAAUCAUUUUGCCUUUCUCAUAGCAUUCACCCUGAAGGAUAACUCCUAAUUACCAACAGGAUUCCCUAACAGAGUCUAGUUUAUCUCAUGCCCUAGCUAGGAAAAGAGAGAAGUGGCCAUUUCUGAGCCCUGGUUGGAUAAGGUUUCCCUGCUCCCAUUAUCUCCCCAACCCCGCUAUCUCCCCAACACCAGAACCUGUUCGAGGUGGAGGAGGUGAACUGCAUCUGUGUGGACUGGAAGAAGGGCUCCCAAACCACCUACACACAGGCUGCCAACAACGUGCGAGUGGUGGGCGCCCAGGUGGCCCAGAUGCUCGACAUCCUCUUGGUGAGUCAGCUGGCUGGGCUAUGUGAGGAGGGAAGCAGUACCUGCUGGUCUCUGUUUGGUAGAGAUGCAGCUAAGAGUUAUGGAUUAAAGAAGGAGAAAGAAUUGAUACCCAGACCUUACUUCUAAAACUCUGAAAUUUGCCUUCAUAAUGACACGCCAGUGAAAGCAAAAAUAAGAAUCGCUAACACUUAGUGGUUUUUUUAAAAUCAUCUUCAAUUUACAGAUAAAGAAACUGUUUAACUAGAUAAACUAGUUAAACAGAAAGUUUAACUAGUUUACUCCCAAAGUCAUAAAGCAAAUGAAUAGAAGAGUUGCCUUUUGAUCCAGACCAUCUAGCUUCAGAAUUCACCCACAACACCAGGUGGGCUCUGUUUGGGGUGAAACACAGCAUGGCCAGAGAGAGCCACAGAGAGCCAACGGACAGUACGUGCAAUUGGCAUGUACCAGCUCUACUGGCCUGGUGGUGUGGGUGCUAUUGAUGUUGGGAAAUUCCUUCUGCCACAAUCAUUUCACUUAUUUCUUCCUACACUGUUUCAUUAUAGCUAACUCCUUCAGUCUUUAAUUCUUUAAGUUGCUAAUCCUUUGUGACUAUUUUCUAUACCAGGUAAUGACUACAGCCAUUUCUGUCUUAUAGUUAAAGGGUCUACAAAAGAAUCAACUUCUGCACUCCUGCAGAAAUCAAAACCCAUGGUAUUUGUACAAGAAGUAUGGUACACCGAUAAAUGAAGGGCUUUUGGGUGAAUGUCUCUGAGAUCAACAUGUGCAAAUACCUCAUAGCUCUAUUUGAUUUGCUUGUUCACCAGUUUUUUUGGAGCACAAUGUCAGGAGUAUGUGAGGAAGUAAAGAAGACACAUGAGGUCCCAGAUCAUCAAGGAGCUUGCAGUGAAGACUUGCAAUGCCAGUAGAGUGUGAUCUAUUCGUGGGUUCUGAUGGGGAGAGUAGGAGCUUUACAGGAACACAUAGAAGGCAGCUAAUCCACACUGAUGGGGCGGGGAAAGGGAUUAAGGAGGUCUCCCAAGGAAGAGACGUCUAAAUUGAGAGCUGAAGGCUAGUCUGUUGAUGUUCGCUGGCAAGUGCUUGGGGGACAGACAACAACAGGAAGAGAAGAACAAACCAGGCCCAGAGGUGAGAGGCUAUGAUGUAUUCGAGGGUCUGAAAGUUCAACAAAGGGUUUGGCUGAAGAGUCUAGAAAAAUAGAUGAUGAGUUAGGAAAGCUCUGAGGCCUUCAAAAUGAGUUUGGGCUUGAUCCUGAAGGCAACGAGAGGCAUGGAAGGUUUUCAGCAGAGGAGUAAUAUCAAUUAGGCUGGCAUUUUAGAAAAACCACAGCAAAAAAUAUCCUGAAAAUACAAUCUUCCCUCUCCAGACAGAGUAUAGCUACCCCCCUUCCAAAGUUCACCUCAUUGGCCACAGCCUGGGAGCCCACGUGGCUGGAGAGGCAGGCAGCAAGACUCCAGGCCUGAGCAGGAUUACAGGGUUGGAUCCUGUAGAAGCAAGUUUUGAAGGUACUCCUGAAGAGGUGCGACUAGAUCCCUCUGAUGCUGACUUUGUUGAUGUGAUUCACACGGAUGCAGCUCCCCUGAUCCCAUUCUUGGCAUUUCAGGUUUUGGAACAAACCAACAGAUGGGUCAUCUUGACUUCUUCCCCAAUGGAGGAGAGAGCAUGCCGGGAUGCAAGAAGAAUGCCCUGUCUCAGAUUGUGGAUCUAGAUGGCAUCUGGGCAGGAACCCAGGACUUUGUGGCUUGCAAUCACCUAAGAAGUUACAAGUAUUACUUGGAAAGCAUCCUCGACCCCGAUGGGUUUGCUGCAUACCCCUGCACUUCCUACAAGUCCUUUGAGUCUGUAAGCUAUUGUCCUGCCUCGAGCAACAGGCAUCACCCCUCUGUGGGACUGCUGUCCUGCUGCGUUUGGGAUUUGCAAUGCCUUCUCACUACACAUUUUGCAUUGUCCCUUAGAGUUCAUGGUCCUGUGGAGUGGAAGAGAAAAAAAAGACAAGUGCUUCCCAUGUCCAGAUCAAGGUUGCCCACAGAUGGGUCACUAUGCUGAUAAAUUUGCUGGCAGGACAAGUGAAGAGCAGCAGAAAUUCUUCUUGAACACAGGAGAGGCUAGCAAUUUCGCCCGCUGGAGAUAUGGAGUUUCUAUCACACUGUCUGGAAGAACAGCCACUGGUCAGAUCAAAGUUGCUUUGUUUGGAAAUAAGGGAAACACUCACCAGUACAGUAUCUUCAGGGGGAUUCUCAAACCAGGCUCAACCCAUUCCUAUGAGUUUGAUGCAAAGCUGGAUGUUGGAACAAUUGAGAAAGUCAAGUUUCUUUGGAAUAACAAUGUGAUAAAUCCAACCCUCCCCAAAGUGGGUGCUGCUAAGAUCACUGUGCAAAAGGGAGAAGAGAAGACAGUGUACAACUUCUGUAGCGAAGACACAGUGCGGGAAGACACGCUGCUCACCCUCACGCCCUGCUAAGCUCCCGGGGCGACGUGGCUGCUGCGUUUACACCAAUAAAAUCCACUGGUGCAUCUGUA
rnacentral:sRNA from 1 species